GAUGAAGAACCGUAGCGAAAUGCGAUAAGUAAUGUGAAUUGCAGAAUUCAGUGAAUCAUCGAAUCUUUGAACGCACAUUGCGCCCCCCGGCAUUCCGGGGAGCAUGCCUGUUCGAGCGUCUCUUGGAAUACCCCUCACGCCGGCGGAGGCGUGGUCAUGGCGGCGGUGGCGUGCCCCGGGAGGGAGGCCACCGCGCUGGAAUCCAUGGGCGGACGCCUGCCGCGUGGCCGAGCGUGAUAAGACGCACUGGCGCUCGCGCGCGGCGAGGCUGCCGGCCCUGGCCCGCUCGUCGGGCGGGGACAGCAACACUUGGGAACUCCUCGAAUCAGGUAGGGAUACCCGCUGAACUUAAGCAUAUCAAUAAGCGGAGGA
rnacentral:misc_RNA from 1 species